GCAAGAGGACCCCGCGGACUACUGCAAAGGAUUACAAGUGAGCUGGCUUCAUCCUCAGACCUUUAUUUUGCUUUGAGGUACUGUUGUUUGACAUUUUGCUUUUUGUGCACUGUGAUCCUGGGGAAGGGUAGUCUUUUGUCUUCAGCUAAGUAGUUUACUGACCAUUUUCUUCUGGAAACAAUAACAUGUCUCUAAGCAUUGUUUCUUGUGUUGUGUGACAUUCAAAUGUCAUUUUUUUGAAUGAAAAAUACUUUCCCCUUUGUGUUUUGGCAGGUUUUGUAACUAUUUAUGAAGAAAUAUUUUAGCUGAGUACUAUAUAAUUUACAAUCUUAAGAAAUUAUCAAGUUGGAACCAAGAAAUAGCAAGGAAAUGUACAAUUUUAUCUUCUGGCAAAGGGACAUCAUUCCUGUAUUAUAGUGUAUGUAAAUGCACCUG
rnacentral:sRNA from 1 species